GAUGAACGCUGGCGGCGUGCCUAAUACAUGCAAGUCGAACGGACAGACGAGGAGCUUGCUCCUCUGACGUUAGCGGCGCACGGGUGAGUAACACGUGUAUAACCCACCUAUAAUACUGGGAUCACCUCGGGAAACCGGAGCUAAUACCGGAUAAUCUAUUGAACCGCAUGGUGCAAUAGUGAAAGACGGUUUUGCUGGCACUUCUAGCUGGUUCCGGGCCGCAUGAGCUGGUUGGUAAGGUAACGGCUUACCAAGGCGACGAUGCGUAGCCGACCUGAGAGGGUGAUCGGCCACACUGGAACUGAGACACGGUCAAGACUCCUACGGGAGGCAGCAGUAGGGAAUCUUCCGCAAUGGGCGAAAGCCUGACGGAGCAACGCCGCGUGAGUGAUGAAGGUCUUCGGAUCGUAAAGCUCUGUUAUUAGGGAAGAACAAAUGUGUAAGUAAAUAUGCACGUAUUGACGGUACCUAAUCAGAAAGCAACGGCUAACUACGUG
rnacentral:rRNA from 1 species